rnacentral:ncRNA from 2 species
AAAACUUCCAGCCGUGCUGGUUCCCCGGGUCGCACCGGGGACGAAAGAGGGAACACGGCCUUUCGCGCCCGCAGGCGCGACAAUCCGUGGCUGCCCCCGCAACUGUAAGCGGCGAGCCCGCGUUCAGAUGGCCACUGGGACCUCUCCCUGGAGAACAUUCUCCUCGAAGAACCUGGGAAGGCCGGACGCAACAGGCAAGGACCCGCAAGCCAGGAGACCUGCCAGCACAGUCACCCAACC